rnacentral:lncRNA from 1 species
CUUUAUCGAGGUAUACCUACAUAAAGUGUACUGAUAUUCUGUGUAUAGCCCAGUGGAUUUGUACAUAUGUAUGCACUUGUGUAGCCACCACCCAGAUGAAGAUACUGAGCAGGUCCAGUACCCCAGAGCUACCUUCAUUUCUAUCACUUUCCCAAGCUGUCAUCCCCGCCGGCUGUCAUGGGAACCCUGUCUGUAAGAUGCGACAGUUUGGGUAAAGGAGUUUGGUCAUUUUAAAGAGUGUGAAAGGCAGAGAACAGAGAAAUCAAAACCUUGCAGGGCCAAGGUGGGUGGAGAGGGUGUUUUUCUUUUAACAUACAUGGGCGGUUUUAAGGAGAAAUUGAAGCAGCCUGUUCAGACAAUUGUUUUGGUAUCUGGCCCCAGGUCUGUGGUUCCUAACAUGACUUGUGAUAUUAUUUUAAGUGGGCAGAUGGCUUUUUGAUAGCUUCUUUAUCUUUCGAUCUCAGCUCUUGCAAAGGGGAGGUUGGUGCUCAUUGCAAGAUCAGCGAUAAGGGUUUCUUUGUAGGUCGGUGGCUUUCUUGGUGAGUACAUUUCAACAUAUUAUUGUUUUAGAACCUGUGUGCUGCCAGUGACUUGCAGCACUGUUGAAGACUAGCCACCCUUUGUGACCUAGCCCUCUUGGGAAAUGGCGGAGGAUCUCAGGGUAUAUCCCUUACCUGUGGGAGCCCUAUCAGAGGGCUUCCUGUUGAGGAAAUGUUGGCUGUAGGCCCUCUGUGCACUGAGCACAGCCACAUCAGGUGAGGGCAUGGGAGAAGUCCGUGGUAGCCAUCAGGAUAGAGUUCAGAAACCCAAAUGGCUGCUUUCCCUGGGUUGCUGGACCAGGCAUUUGGUAACUCUAAAGCUUAGAGAUGAUUCAUCGACAAGCAUUUAUUGACUGCCUACUGUGUGCUGGGCACAGUGCUAGGUUCCAGCAGGGAAAGAGAUGCAGAGUGGUCCUAAGAUGUCACAGGGCUUGUGGGAUGGAGUACAGAGGAUUUGUUGUAUGAGACCUGGCUGAGCCCCUGCUCUUCGCCAGGCACUUCACUGAGUACUAUAUUUUCAUGCAAGGUCUGGUUUAAUUCCGACAACAUUCCCUGUGAAGUAGAGGGUUUUAAAUUUCUCUUUCCUGGAUGAGCAAACUGAGGCUCCCAGAGUCCAAAGUCCUAGGGCUGGUGUGGGGAAAAGCCCUCCUGAUCUUCCUUGGCACUUGACACUACCCUUUGGAAGUGUCCUAUUCUUCUUAAAAGUAAAGACCAAGAGAGCCUCACCAUGGUCUUCAAGCACCCUCCCAUCCCAUUCCCCAAUCUGGCCUCCACUGGCUCAUAGUCUUAACACCAGUGGUCUUUCUGAGCUCCUGUCACCAUGGUCUUUCUGUUACUCCAAAGGGCCUCGCUCCUUUCUGCUGCAGGGCCUUUGCCCCUGCUGUUUCCUUCACCAGGAACAUUUAUCCCGUACCCCUUGCAGUCUCCUCCAGUGUUGAUCCCUCAGUUCUAAGAGGACUUCCCCAGGGGAGCCUGUCCACCCCAGUGUCCUCGGGCCCCUGGCUUUUUCAUAGCACUCAUCAGCCCAGCACGUGCUAAGCUUUGUUAGAGAAUGUCCCAUGGCAGAGCAGAUGAACAUCGCCACCAGUCGAGGGGUCAUCGGCCACCCUGCCUAGCAGUUCUACUAUAUUUUUUUGAUCCACUCGUUUCUCCUCUGAAGUGACUCUUUCAAAUGUUCUUUACCUUCAGACUUUCUCUCCUGCUUCAAAAAACAAAACAGAAGCCAUAAGAAUGGAACUCCCUAUAACUUGUGGCCCCCAAGUCUGCACGCUGAUUUCCCUCCCCUGUGUUACAGAUGACGAGGAGUCCCUUCUUGCUCAGGCCACUUCUCCCUCCUGUGCUCUGGGUCCCAGUUUCUGCUACUUGCUCUAGAAUCUGACAUCAUCAGUCACCUUUUCUCUCCUGGCAGGUUUUCUGCUGCCCUCCUUGCUUGAUCCUCUAUUCACCUUUGCCUGUGCCAGCAUCCCUUCUGUCUCCGCUGACCCCACGUUCUCUCCCUCCUGCUUCUGGCCAGCACCUCAUCACCCUCCCCUUCACUGCUGACCCCUGCAGAGUUGCCUGUACUUGCCUUCUGCACUUGCUCACCCCCGUAAGUGUUAGCCCCCGGCAUCUGCCAGAUUCUGCAGGUGGUUUUUUAGUUUUCCUCUUGAAGUGGUUGACCACUCCUACUUAAAACACUUUGUCUUCCCUUGCCUUGAGACCACACUCUGCUGGUUUUCCUCUUAACUCUCUGGCCCUUCUCUUUCUCCUGGCUCUUCCCUUAGCUUCAUGUAUCCAAACUCGGCAUCUCCACUUGACUGAUGGCCCAAAUAAUUCCUCAAACUCACCUUGUCGGGGACUGCAUUCAUCACCUCUCCCACAGUGUUCCCAAGCAGCCUCUCACUCCCCUACCUCCCCACUUGCUCGUUUUGCUUUUCAGCAUCCUUAAGUAAGCCCUGCCUGACCCUGUAGAUUGGGCCAGGGACCCUUAUUCUAGGGCAUUCUUUCCUUUUCUAAAGGCACUGAUCGCAGUUUGUAGUUAUAUCUUUAUUAGGGGGUUGCUGGAUGACUCUCUGCCCCGCUAGACUGUAAGCUCCGUGAGGGGUAGGGACAUGGUCUGCUUUCAUUCACCACUGUAUUCCUGCAGGCCUGCCACAGUGCCUGGCACUUAGCAGGUGCUCAAUAAAUGUUUGUUGAAAUAA